rnacentral:rRNA from 1 species
UACGGAGGGGGCUAGCGUUGUUCGGAAUUACUGGGCGUAAAGCGCGUGUAGGCGGCCAUCUAAGUCGGGCGUGAAAUCCCACGGCUCAACCGUGGAAGUGCACUCGAAACUGGAUGGCUAGAGUCCUGGAGAGGAAGGUGGAAUGCUUGGUGUAGAGGUGAAAAUUCGUAGAUAUCAAGCGGAAACACCGGUGGCGAAGGCGGCC